GAUGAACGCUGGCGGCGUGCCUAAUACAUGCAAGUCGAGCGAACUUUUGGGAGCUUGCUCCCAAAAGUUAGCGGCGGACGGGUGAGUAACGCGUGGGUAACCUGCCUGUAAGACUGGGAUAACUUCGGGAAACCGGAGCUAAUACCGGAUAACAUUGAAGACCACAUGGCCUUCCAUUAAAAGGUUGCUUUUAGCUACCACUUACAGAUGGACCCGCGGCGCAUUAGCUAGUUGGUGAGGUAAGGGCUUACCAAGGCUACGAUGCGUAACCGACCUGAGAGGGUGAUCGGCCAAGCUGGGACGGGGACACGGCCCAGACUCCUGCGGGAGGCAGCAGUAGGGAACCUUCCGCAAUGGACGAAAGUCUGACGGAGCAGCGCCGCGUGAGCGAAGAACGCCUCCGGGUCGUAAAGCUCUGUUGUUAGGGAAGAACAAGUAUCGUUCGAAUAGGGCGGUAUCUUGACGGUACCUAACCAGAAAGCCACGGCUAACUACGUG
rnacentral:rRNA from 1 species